CUGGCACUGCCGUACACUCACCAACAACUACACACACGAUGAAGUCCGAGGGGCGAAACAACGCCGGUUGACUGCUCGCGGCGUAGAAAAAGUGUGGAUACGCAACUUAAUGCGAUCCAAAAGUACAACGGAAGCACCUUUUGCCUGGGCCAAGUCUUGUGCUACAAGCUACUACAACAAACAUGACGGGGAGGAGAAUGCGUUCUCAAACCCCGCAUGUCACAACCUUUGGAGCCAUAAAACUAGCGAGGCAGCGCAACGGUUAGUAAAAAUAGCAACUCACGAGGUUAACAAAAUGCCCACAACACGUACGAUUUCCAUGAGCCCUCAGGAAGGGAAACACGAAAAGUA
rnacentral:misc_RNA from 1 species